UACAGAGGUCUCGAGCGUUGUUCGGAUUCAUUGGGCGUAAAGGGUGCGUAGGCGGCGCGGUAAGUCGGGUGUGAAAUCUCGGAGCUUAACUCCGAAACUGCAUUCGAUACUGCCGUGCUUGAGGACUGGAGAGGAGACUGGAAUUCAUGGUGUAGCAGUGAAAUGCGUAGAGAUCAUGAGGAAGACCAGUGGCGAAGGCGGGUCUCUGGACAGUUCCUGACACUGAGGCACGAAGGCCAGGGGAGCAAACGGG
rnacentral:rRNA from 1 species